rnacentral:rRNA from 1 species
CUCGGUGACUAUACCGGAGAGGAAACACCUCUUCCCAUUCCGAACAGAGAAGUUAAGCUCUCCAGGGCCGAUGGUACUGUGGUGGCAACGCCACGGGAGAGUAGGUCGUCACCGAGA